UCCAAAUCCGACGUGCUCUUUUCCGCCCUGGUGGGUUCGAUGCCCA
rnacentral:tRNA from 13 species